rnacentral:rRNA from 1 species
AGAGUUUGAUCCUGGCUCAGGAUGAACGCUGACAGAAUGCUUAACACAUGCAAGUCUACUUGAUCCUUCGGGUGAAGGUGGCGGACGGGUGAGUAACGCGUAAAGAACUUGCCUUACAGACUGGGACAACAUUUGGAAACGAAUGCUAAUACCGGAUAUUAUGACUGAGUCGCAUGAUUUGGUUAUGAAAGCUAUAUGCGCUGUGAGAGAGCUUUGCGUCCCAUUAGUUAGUUGGUGAGGUAACGGCUCACCAAGACGAUGAUGGGUAGCCGGCCUGAGAGGGUGAACGGCCACAAGGGGACUGAGACACGGCCCUUACUCCUACGGGAGGCAGCAGUGGGGAAUAUUGGACAAUGGACCAAAAGUCUGAUCCAGCAAUUCUGUGUGCACGAUGAAGUUUUUCGGAAUGUAAAGUGCUUUCAGUUGGGAAGAAGUCAGUGACGGUACCAACAGAAGAAGCGACGGCUAAAUACGUGCCAGCAGCCGCGGUAAUACGUAUGUCGCAAGCGUUAUCCGGAUUUAUUGGGCGUAAAGCGCGUCUAGGCGGUUUAGUAAGUCUGAUGUGAAAAUGCGGGGCUCAACCCCGUAUUGCGUUGGAAACUGCUAAACUAGAGUACUGGAGAGGUAGGCGGAACUACAAGUGUAGAGGUGAAAUUCGUAGAUAUUUGUAGGAAUGCCGAUGGGGAAGCCAGCCUACUGGACAGAUACUGACGCUAAAGCGCGAAAGCGUGGGUAGCAAACAGGAUUAGAUACCCUGGUAGUCCACGCCGUAAACGAUGAUUACUAGGU